rnacentral:rRNA from 1 species
ACGGGGGAUGCAAGCGUUAUCCGGAUUUAUUGGGUUUAAAGGGUGCGUAGGCGGUUUGAUAAGUCAGCGGUGAAAUAUUUCAGCUUAACUGAAAGGGUGCCGUUGAUACUGUCAGGCUUGAAUAUGGUUGCUGUGGGUUGAAUGUGUGGUGUAGCUCUGAAAUGCUUAUAUUUCACACAGAUUAUCGAUUGCGAAGGCAUCUCACAAAGCCAUUAUUGACGCUGAUGCACGUAAGUGUGGGGAUCAAACAU